AAAACGCCCGUAGUAUACCUAAGAGUGGGUGUGUAGUAAUUGUUUUGCCGAGACGGUUGGUGGAGUUUAUCACUCUUGCUUGCCUACUUUUGGUAAACUUUAGUCGGGCUGGAUCUUUGGUCCUCGUCUGACAGUUGCUACGUACUUACUUACCACGGUUCAUCCGUGAGGCCCUUGGCUUGCAACUGUAAAUAAAUCGUUGUGCUUAAAGCGGGCUAUGAUACUCUGCCAGAGCGAUUUAGCAUGGGACUGCAGAGUAGCUGUAUUUGAGUGAAGGUUGCACCUCGGUGUGGCUGGAGCUUGGUACAGCGCUUGUAAUGGAGCUCAGGGUGAGGCCCCGGGUACCAUGAGGCUAGAGGUGAAAUUCUGAGACCCUCAUGUGACCAACUAAGGCGAAAGCUGUCGUGGGCCACCACAAGCUCGUCUAUCAGGGACGAAAGUUGGGGGAUCGAAGACGAUUAGAUACCGUCGUAGUCCCAACUAUAAACGAUACCAACCGAGUAUUUGGGAAGACACUAUCCCAGCGAUCUUCUCAGAACUCAAGGGAAACCUUAAGUCUUUGGGUUCUGGGGGGAGUAUAGUCGCAAGACCGAAACUUAAGGAAUUGAGGAAGGCACCACCAGAGUGGAGUCUGCGGCUUAAUUCGACUCAACAGGGGAAACUCACCAGUCAGAAAGUUGAUGAAGUUAAUGCCCUUUCUGAUGUGUGUGGUGGCAGGCCGUUUCCGUUCGGGUGGCACUUCUUUUAUCCGAGA
rnacentral:rRNA from 1 species